AGACCAAGGCCCCUGUGCCUGGGAUCGCUGGGUUAGGGGCGGGUUAACCUAGGGGUCCCAGCCUCCAAGUCUGGGGAGGAUCCGGGUUCACGGGGUCGGAGUCCAGAGGAAUCCAGGCACCCAGGUGUCCUCCAGCCCGGCUCGAAGCUGAAGGCAGAGCUGACGGCGGUUGGAAGGGAUGGCUUUGGUUCUUUGGUUUUCGGGAGGUUGCGAGCCGCCCGGGUCUUGAACCUGGAUCUUCGCGGGGUCGUGUCACUCUCCCUCCGCCCCGGCCAGCUCAACCCCUGAUUCCCCGGGAUGAUCGCCCCUUCCAGCCAGCCCCCGCUGUUCUGGCCCAUCUUCCUGGCCUGUUGGGGCGGGUUUCUGGAGCUGGCCCUGCAGAGUCACACACCCCCACCCCACUCUCCUUCCCGCAGUCUCCCAAGCCAGCCUGCUCCGCCUGCACCACCGGUUCCGGGCACUGGACAGGAAUAAGAAGGGCUACCUGAGGUGAGGGGGAGCCGGCCUCAUAACUUCUGGCCUCUGUCUCUCUGACUCCAUGUCCCUCUUUGACCCUCCGUCUGGCAUCUCUGCCUUACCC
rnacentral:lncRNA from 1 species